rnacentral:tRNA from 1 species
UCCCUGGUAUUUCAGUGGUUAAGAAGCUGUGCUUCCAAGGUAUGGGGCUCAGGUUCAAUCCCUGGUUAGGGAG